CACGGGGGCAACCCUGGUGGCGAGUGGCGAACGGGUGAGUAACACAUCGGAACGUGUCCUGUUGUGGGGGAUAACCAGUCGAAAGACGGGCUAAUACCGCAUGAGCUGGAGACAGGAAAGCGGGGGACUCGCAAGGGCCUCGUGCGAUUGGAGCGGCCGAUGUCCGAUUAGCUAGUUGGUGAGGUAAAGGCUCACCAAGGCAACGAUCGGUAGCUGGUCUGAGAGGAUGAUCAGCCACACUGGGACUGAGACACGGCCCAGACUCCUACGGGAGGCAGCAGUGGGGAAUUUUGGACAAUGGGGGCAACCCUGAUCCAGCCAUGCCGCGUGAGUGAAGAAGGCCUUCGGG
rnacentral:rRNA from 1 species